rnacentral:lncRNA from 1 species
AUGCUCCCAAACAUUAUAAACCUGCAUCAGGACAUCAAUAAACUGCUACCUAACAUUAUAAACCUGCAUCAGGACAUCAAUAAUCUGCUCCCUAACAUUAUAAACCUGCAUCAGGACAUCAAUAAACUGCUACCUAACAUUAUAAACCUGCAUCAGGACAUCAAUAAGCUGCUCCCAAACAUUAUAAACCUGCAUCAGGACAUCAAUAAACUGCUCCCUAACAUUAUAAACCUGCAUCAGGACAUCAAUAAGCUGCUCCCUAACAUUACAAACCUGCAUCAGGACAUCAAUAAACUGCUCCCUAACAUUAUAAACCUGCAUCAGGACAUCAAUAAGCUGCUCACAAACAUUACAAACCUGCAUCAGGACAUCAAUAACCUGCUCCCAAACAUUAUAAACCUGCAUCAGGACAUCAAUAAGCUGCUCCCUAACAUUAUAAACCUGCAUCAGGACAUCAAUAAGCUGCUCACAAACAUUACAAACCUGCAUCAGGACAUUAAUAAGUUGCUCCCUAACAUUAUAAACCUGCAUCAGGACAUCAAUAAGCUGCUCCCUAACAUUAUAAACCUGCAUCAGGACAUCAAUAAGCUGCUCCCAGACAUUAUAAACCUGCAUCAGGACAUUAAUAAGCUGCGCCCAGACAUUAUAAACCAGCAUCAGGACGUCAAUAAGCUGUUCCCUAACAUUAUAAACCUGCAUCAGGACAUCAAUAAUCUGCUCCCUAACAUUAUAAACCUGCAUCAGGACAUCAAUAAUAUACUCCCAGAUUUUAUACACCUGCAUCAGGACAUCAAUAAUAUACUCCCAGACAUUAUAAACCUGCAUCAGGACAUAAUUAAUCUGCACCCAUACAUUAUAAACCUGCAUCAGGACAUUAAUAAGCUGCUCCCAAACAUUAGAAACCAUCAGGACAUCAAUAAUCUGCUCCCAGACAUUAUAAACCUGCAUCAGGACAUCAAUAAACUGCUCCCAGACAUUAUAAACCUGCAUCAGGACAUCAAUAAUCUGCUCCCAGACAUUAUAAAUCUGCAUCAGGACAUCAAUAAUCUGCUCCCAGACAUUAUAAAUCUGCACCAGGACAUCAAUAAGCUGCUCCCAAACAUUACAAACCUGCAUCAGGAUAUCAAUAAACUACUCCCUAACAUUAUAAACCUGCAUCAGGACAUCAAUAAGCUGCUCCCUAACAUUAUAAACCUGCAUCAGGACAUCAAUAAUCUGCUCCCUAACAUUAUAAACCUGCAUCAGGACAUCAAUAAACUGCUCCCAAACAUUAUAAACCUGCAUCAGGACAUCAAUAAGCUGCUCACAAACAUUUUAAACCUGCAUCAGGACAUCAAUAAGCUGCUCACAAACAUUAUAAACCUGCAUCAGGACAUCAAUAAUAUACUCCCAGAUUUUAUACACCUGCAUCAGGACAUCAUUAAUCUGCACCCAUACAUUAUAAACCUGCAUCAGGACAUCAAUAAACUGCUCCCUAACAUUAUAAACCUGCAUCAGGACAUCAAUAAUCUGCUCCAUAACAUUAUAAACCUGCAUCAGGACAUUAAUAAGCUGCUCCCGAACAUUAGAAACCAUCAGGACAUCAAUAAUCUGCUCCCAGACGUUAUAAACCUGCAUCAGGACAUCAAUAAACUGCUCCCAGACAUUACAAACCUGCAUCAGGAUAUCAAUAAACUACUCCCUAACAUUAUAAACCUGCAUCAGGACAUCAAUAAGCUGCUCCCAAAAAUUAUAAACCUGCAUCAGGACAUCAAUAAACUGCUCCCAAACAUUAUAAACCUGCAUCAGGACAUCAAUAAGCUGCUCACAAACAUUUUAAACCUGCAUCAGGACAUCAAUAAGCUGCUCACAAACAUUAUAAACCUGCAUCAGGACAUCAAUAAUAUACUCCCAGAUUUUAUACACCUGCAUCAGGACAUCAUUAAUCUGCACCCAUACAUUAUAAACCUGCAUCAGGACAUCAAUAAGCUGCUCCCAGACAUUAUAAACCUGCAUCAGGACAUCAAUAAUCUGCUCCAUAACAUUAUAAACCUGCAUCAGGACAUUAAUAAGCUGCUCCCGAACAUUAGAAACCAUCAGGACAUCAAUAAUCUGCUCCCAAACGUUAUAAACCUGCAUCAGGACAUCAAUAAACUGCUCCCAGACAUUAUAAACCUGCAUCAGGACAUCAAUAAUCUGCUCCCAAACAUUAGAAACCAUCAGGACAUCAAUAAUCUGCUCCCAGACAUUAUAAACCUGCAUCAGGACAUCAAUAAGAUGCUCCCAAACAUUAUAAACCUGCAUCAGGACAUCAAUAAACUGCUACCUAACAUUAUAAACCUGCAUCAGGACAUCAAUAAUCUGCUCCCUAACAUUAUAAACCUGCAUCAGGACAUCAAUAAACUGCUACCUAACAUUAUAAACCUGCAUCAGGACAUCAAUAAGCUGCUCCCAAACAUUAUAAACCUGCAUCAGGACAUCAAUAAACUGCUCCCUAACAUUAUAAACCUGCAUCAGGACAUCAAUAAGCUGCUCCCUAACAUUACAAACCUGCAUCAGGACAUCAAUAAACUGCUCCCUAACAUUAUAAACCUGCAUCAGGACAUCAAUAAGCUGCUCACAAACAUUACAAACCUGCAUCAGGACAUCAAUAACCUGCUCCCAAACAUUAUAAACCUGCAUCAGGACAUCAAUAAGCUGCUCCCUAACAUUAUAAACCUGCAUCAGGACAUCAAUAAGCUGCUCACAAACAUUACAAACCUGCAUCAGGACAUUAAUAAGCUGCGCCCAGACAUUAUAAACCAGCAUCAGGACGUCAAUAAGCUGUUCCCUAACAUUAUAAACCUGCAUCAGGACAUCAAUAAUCUGCUCCCUAACAUUAUAAACCUGCAUCAGGACAUCAAUAAUAUACUCCCAGAUUUUAUACACCUGCAUCAGGACAUCAAUAAUAUACUCCCAGACAUUAUAAACCUGCAUCAGGACAUAAUUAAUCUGCACCCAUACAUUAUAAACCUGCAUCAGGACAUUAAUAAGCUGCUCCCAAACAUUAGAAACCAUCAGGACAUCAAUAAUCUGCUCCCAGACAUUAUAAACCUGCAUCAGGACAUCAAUAAACUGCUCCCAGACAUUAUAAACCUGCAUCAGGACAUCAAUAAUCUGCUCCCAGACAUUAUAAAUCUGCAUCAGGACAUCAAUAAUCUGCUCCCAGACAUUAUAAAUCUGCACCAGGACAUCAAUAAGCUGCUCCCAAACAUUACAAACCUGCAUCAGGAUAUCAAUAAACUACUCCCUAACAUUAUAAACCUGCAUCAGGACAUCAAUAAGCUGCUCCCUAACAUUAUAAACCUGCAUCAGGACAUCAAUAAUCUGCUCCCUAACAUUAUAAACCUGCAUCAGGACAUCAAUAAACUGCUCCCAAACAUUAUAAACCUGCAUCAGGACAUCAAUAAGCUGCUCACAAACAUUUUAAACCUGCAUCAGGACAUCAAUAAGCUGCUCACAAACAUUAUAAACCUGCAUCAGGACAUCAAUAAUAUACUCCCAGAUUUUAUACACCUGCAUCAGGACAUCAUUAAUCUGCACCCAUACAUUAUAAACCUGCAUCAGGACAUCAAUAAACUGCUCCCUAACAUUAUAAACCUGCAUCAGGACAUCAAUAAUCUGCUCCAUAACAUUAUAAACCUGCAUCAGGACAUUAAUAAGCUGCUCCCGAACAUUAGAAACCAUCAGGACAUCAAUAAUCUGCUCCCAGACGUUAUAAACCUGCAUCAGGACAUCAAUAAACUGCUCCCAGACAUUACAAACCUGCAUCAGGAUAUCAAUAAACUACUCCCUAACAUUAUAAACCUGCAUCAGGACAUCAAUAAGCUGCUCCCAAAAAUUAUAAACCUGCAUCAGGACAUCAAUAAACUGCUCCCAAACAUUAUAAACCUGCAUCAGGACAUCAAUAAUAUACUCCCAGAUUUUAUACACCUGCAUCAGGACAUCAUUAAUCUGCACCCAUACAUUAUAAACCUGCAUCAGGACAUCAAUAAGCUGCUCCCAGACAUUAUAAACCUGCAUCAGGACAUCAAUAAUCUGCUCCAUAACAUUAUAAACCUGCAUCAGGACAUUAAUAAGCUGCUCCCGAACAUUAGAAACCAUCAGGACAUCAAUAAUCUGCUCCCAAACGUUAUAAACCUGCAUCAGGACAUCAAUAAACUGCUCCCAGACAUUAUAAACCUGCAUCAGGACAUCAAUAAUCUGCUCCCAAACAUUAGAAACCAUCAGGACAUCAAUAAUCUGCUCCCAGACAUUAUAAACCUGCAUCAGGACAUCAAUAAGCUGCUCCCAAACAUUAUAAACCUGCAUCAGGACAUCAAUAAACUGCUCCCAGACAUUAUAAACCAGCAUCGGGACAUCAAUAACCUGCUCCCAAACAUUGUAAACCUGCAUCAGGACAUCAAUAAGCUGCUCCCUAACAUUAUAAACCUGCAUCAGGACAUCAAUAAUCUGCUCCCAAACAUUAUAAACCUGCAUCAGGACAUCAUUAAUCUGCACCCAGACAUUAUAAACCUGCAUCAGGACAUCAAUAAGCUGUUCCCUAACAUUAUAAACCUGCAUCAGGAUAUCAAUAAGCUGCUCACAAACAUUUUAAACCUGCAUCAGGACAUCAAUAAGCUGCUCCCAAACAUUAUAAACCUGCAUCAGGACAUCAAUAAUAUACUCCCAGAUUUUAUACACCUGCAUCAGGACAUCAUUAAUCUGCACCCAUACAUUAUAAACCUGCAUCAGGACAUUAAUAAGCUGCUCCCAAACAUUAGAAACCAUCAGGACAUCAAUAAUCUGCUCCCAGACGUUAUAAACCUGCAUCAGGACAUCAAUAAACUGCUCCCAGACAUUAUAAACCUGCAUCAGGACAUCAAUAAUCUGCUCCCAAACAUUAGAAACCAUCAGGACAUCAAUAAUCUGCUCCCAGACAUUAUAAACCAGCAUCGGGACAUCAAUAAUCUGCUCCCAGACAUUAUAAACCUGCAUCAGGACAUCAAUAAGCUGCUCCCUAACAUUAUAAACCUGCAUCAGGACAUCAAUAAGCUGCUCCCUAACAUUAUAAACCUGCAUCAGGACAUCAAUAAGCUGCUCCCUAACAUUAUAAACCUGCAUCAGGACAUCAAUAACCUGCUCCCAAACAUUGUAAACCUGCAUCAGGACAUCAAUAAGAUGCUCCCUAACAUUAUAAACCUGCUUCAGGACAUCAAUAACCUGCUCCCAAACAUUAUAAACCUGCAUUAG